rnacentral:lncRNA from 1 species
GAUUACGGCUCUUGUGAAAGAGGCCUGAAAUACUUGCUCAUCCCUUUUAUUUAAGAAUAUGUCCUGGAAGAGGCCCUCACUCAUUUGACUAUGUUGGCACCCUGAUCUUGGACUUCUAGCCUCCAGAACUGUGAUAAGUAACGUAGUUUAUAAACCACCCAGCCUCUCGCAUUUUGCAAUAGCAGCCUGCAUGCACUAAAACACUGGAUAUGAUUAAAUAGGAAAAAAAAAUUGUCAAUCUUGUUUUUCCCUUCCAAGGUCAUGAAUGUGGAACAGGUAACAUAGAUAUAAAUAAUUCCAAAUAAACUGGCAGAUGAUAACAUACUCCAUAGAAUUGUACAUUUCUUUCCAAUUGUAGUUCCUUGACAUGCCCACUUGGGAAGAUAUUUUCUUAGAGGUAAUUAACAUUUAAACCAAUAGACUGGAUUUUAUGCAAUCAGUUGAGGACCUUAAGUGUAAAGAUAGAGGUUUCCCAAAAUCAAAGCAAUUCAGCCUGAAGACAGCACCAUUAACUGGUACCCCAAUCUCCAGCCUGUCAGCCUAAACUGGACCCUAAGGCCUGUCACUGGGCUCUCAUCAGAAUCCUAACAUAACUGCUCUUUGACUUCAAAACUUAUCUUCACUUCUCUAGGCCUUCGUUUUCUCACCCAGAAAAGGAAAAUUAGAGUAGAAAAUCCUUUACAUUUCCAAAUAUUAUACAAGUCUCUGUAUAAAACAGGAUUCCAAACUGAGGUUUUAUUCUUUUUCCAGAAAAGAAAAUUAUCGAUUGGUUGUGCAGCUUACCUGUUUGGAUCUCUUAUACUUCUCAUUAUCUGCCCUAUCCCACAGUGUAUUUCUCUAGCUUAGCUUUCAGAAAAUACCUUGAUAGAAAUAAUUACUUGGCUGUUAUGGAAUAUUACUUUUAUCUUUGAUCUUCCACCGAAAAGCAGGAUUUGUAGUUAAGCACACUAGUGGGAGAAACUGUUUCUAAAUGUCACGAUGUCAACAUAGGAAGUUUGCUGUGUAUAGCUACUCAGUCGUGUCAAACACUUUAUGACCCCCCUGGACUGAUGGACUCCUUGGACUACAG